AAAUAUAUCUCAAGAAAAGUUUGACACAUGGAUGGCCUGUUUGGGAAGCUUUUGCCAGAUCUACGGCGAGAUGCCCAGGAAUACAGCUGGGAACGGGAGCGGGUAGAGCGGGUCGCGGAGCAUCCAAGAAGCUUCUUUGCGUGCUUGUAUGACAGCAUAAUAAGGGAUAUGUGCGCAAAUAGAUGGGGAUGAGAAGAAAUCAUGACACAAAUCUCAAUCAACUGCCCUCUCCAAUCCUACACAACAAGGAAAGGAUGAGCUCCCUCCACCAUACAAUCACAAAUUUAUGGCUGGUUCAUGUGUGGUUGGGGAUGCCCGCCGGGGGACCCCGAGACGGAGGUGGCUCCCCAAUCCUUGCUCAAAUACGAUAACUCCCCAGUCCUUGGUGAAGGUGGGAUUUGAAGCCUCUAGUAUAACUACCACGAGACUUUACUAGCUAUCCAGGAUGCUGCAUUCCACCCGCGGAAUGUGGCUUCACCUUUCAGAGUGCCCUCGUCUGGACUAAGCCCACCACCUUGACUUCAAACAAUACCGACUGUAAUACUUGGCAAAACAACCCUUCCACCCUCUGCUACGACCGCGAGUGUUACACAGCUAGUACCAUUGCCAGCAUUAGGAAUGACCGAAAGGAGGUUCUUGCUCUUGCAUAAAGCUAAGAGUUGGUAGGCUAUCUCAUUGGCGACAUGUCAUCUCCGACUGCUGUACUUCCAGUAGCAGAUGGAUCGAAUGCUGCCCCUGCUCCAAACCCUGAGUACCAGAAAUGAAAAACUACUGAUCGUUUUCUUAAAGGGUGGAUCAUUGGAACUCUGUCCAAGGAAGCUCUUGGCAU